CUGAAAUUGGUUUCCUCUUGGAGGACCGCCAAUGGGGUCGGAAGUGAAUUAAGCUCGAGGCUUUGCGUGUGCUCUGGGAUUAUUGGAGAAGUUCGUUGCCACAUAGAGAGAUAAGAGCUCGGUUCGACGUGUGCUGAUUUCCCCCGUUCGUCGACAUUCCAUGACAUGAUGACCGUGACCAGGAUGCCGUAUCAUCCCCUUUGUUGAGGAAGCAGGGGACCGAGUAGAGAGGAAAGUUAGACCCGUGAUGACCUGUGACGCUUCUCACUGUAGAGGGGGAACGACUGAGAAAGCAUAGGGUGCACCUCUUAUGCCACCUCAUUUUUUGUAAUAGACCAUUGAUUGCGCGACACGUGUCCCUCGCUGGCCCCACCGACCCCC
rnacentral:lncRNA from 1 species